rnacentral:rRNA from 1 species
CUACGGAGGGUGCAAGCGUUGUUCGGAUUUAUUGGGUGUAAAGCGAGUGUAGGCGGUUUGACAAGUCGAAUGUGAAAUCCCGAGGCCCAACCUCGGAACUGCAUCCGAAACUGUCAGGCUAGAGUCCCGGAGAGGGUGGCGGAAUUCCCGGUGUAGGGGUGAAAUCCGUAGAUAUCGGGAGGAACACCAGUGGCGAAGGCGGCCACCUGGACGGUGACUGACGCUGAGACUCGAAAGUGUGGGUAGCAACAGGAUUAGAAACCCUAGUAGUCC